AAAAUAGUUGGUGAUACAUGGCAGGUCUAUUUAGAUUAAAAAUCUGCUUUUGUUGCCCACUUCUGAGAUGGGAGACAGUUUUGCUGAAGUCUGCAAUUUUCUCUUCAAAUAUAAAAACGCUGCAAAAAAUGACGUGUAAAAUUCUGCAUGUUUAAGGAUAGCCAAUUAAAGGGAAUCUCUUGAGGACUGAGAGUAAAAUGAGUCGGGAAUUCAAAGUAAACUGACAGUAACAAGAGGACAUCUAUUCUGUUUUGUAAAUAUACUGGAAGAGAUUAAUAAGACAUGUAAAGAGAGGAGGUAAAGAGAGGACAGAGCAGUCCAAGGGCCACAUGAGGUAGUCUGCAUCAGUGCAGUACUCCCAUCCAGGGCUUGAAACUGCUGCCCCCUAGUGGUGAUAGUGGAAAGUCAAAGAUGAGACAUGAUGAAUGGUGUAGAUAAAAUUAAGAGCAGUCGUUUUCACCACAGGGCAGGAUUCGCACAUUCACGUCUGAAAUCAGUAUAUUAAAUGUACUGGAUAUUGUUCAGGAUACGAUCACAUCCUGAUAGGAGAACAAUAUACAGGACCUCCCUACUAUACGACUGUAAAACAGGGUACACUCAUUCCUUGUUGGGUCCUGUUCAGUUCUGCUAUUUAAAUGCUAAAGUUGGCCAGAUUUUCCUAGCUUAUUCACGUGGGAAUAUGGUCCUGUAAGGAUGGGUAGGUGGGUUUUCCUAGAAGUGAAGAGAAUUCACCCAGUAACUGAAACCUUGCUGGUUCUAACCCUGAAGCCUAAAAUGUGACCAUGAGCACGACAUUUAACCCUAACCAGGUCAUUAAAGUAACAAUAAAAAAAAACGAGAGAGGCAUGUAUGACACAUCCAAUCUCUGUUAUACAUGAACAUUGCUCUUCAGUGAGAAAUAAAGAAGAAAGUUUUCAUUUCUGGUUGGUUAGAGGGUUUGGCUUGCCUCUGGCCUUGGCAGGCCAGACAAUCGCACUGCUGCAGUGUGUGUGUGUGUGGGUGUGUGUGAGUGUACUCUGUCUCACCUCAGCACACCCGGAGAGUCCUUGUGUGAAGACCUUGGCGAGUGCAAAAGCAUGGGUCUCAAUCUGGGAGAGAGAGAGAGAAAGAGGCCCUGAACCGAUAAGGAACUUUUCAGCGGGUCGGAACAAGCUGUCCCAACUCUCCCUCCUUUUUCUCUGUGCUGUUGACGUCUAAGAGGAAGAUAGCAGAUUAUUAUGUAGCCAGUCCAACCUGGGUUACAACGGCCAACGAACUGCAGCCAAUCAACCUCAGAUGAGGCACACCGGGUCUGUCGCACUUGUUGCUGGCAACUUUAACGUGGGUGUUUUUAGGGGGCAGCUCCGCAGGUGCAAAAUCAAGGAGGGGGCAUAAGUGCUGACGGAGCUCAGGAAACUGCUACUGUGUCUUUCUCAAACAUCUUCAAGGUCACUGGGGAGUGAUAAAUGCCCCAUGAGAAGGUGUUUGCUUUGGGGAGAAGGCUCAGCAGCUACACAGGGUCCUCACAUCAGCUGGUCGGAGAGGGGUAUCUUCACUCGCUGUUCCUUUUUCCUAUGCAUAUACCUCUUUGAGAUCUAGCUUUAAAGAGGCAUAGGGCAUGGGAAAAUGGGGCUGCAGAGGUAUUUCACUGACUAUCCCUGGUCAACCACCUCAGCCCAAAGUAAUCCCAGCUCCCCCCAUCUUUAACCUGGAGGACUCCCGAAAACCAGAUCACACCACUAGGAAUUCAGUGGAGCCUCCAUGUCAUAAUGACCUAAGAAAAAUCGAUUUUGCAGUGCCCUGAAACAAUCGGUAAUCAUCGUCUGAUAGUUUCUAUAGUUUGUGCUUUGACUAUGGUGUAGUUCAUUUUGUCCAAUAACUUUUGUGUUGUCGACUUCCAAUUGCUUAAUAAAUAAAAAUCUGUUUUUUUUGUCCAUUUUGUAUGUGUAUAGAUCUGUCAGUUGUUCAGUAACUAAGUGUGUAAAAAAUCUAGAAUAAAAGAAUCAAUAAUUGAUUGGAACAUUUUUCCUUUUUUAUAUAUAGGCAACAUAUCCCAAAUUGAAUAACCAUGAAUACUUAGAGAGGAAUCAGUUUAUCUGAUUCAGGUAAUACACUUACAUUGAUUUAUAUAAUAGAUUAGCCUUUCUAGAUAUCCGUUGAGCAAGGGCUAAAUUAAUUCAAACAUGCAUUGGAAUAUUUACACAGUAGCUCUUUUUCCAAUGGUCAAAUUAACUCACCCAAAGGUCCAGGGUACAGUAUAAAAGCCUACAACUACCACCAGGGCGAUCGCUCUCAUAGGAAUGCUAUGACUUUAGAAUUAUGAGUGUGUUGGCAGGGAAUGAAUACUAUAAAUAAAGACACUG
ensembl:lncRNA